GUCAUGCUGCUCGGCCGUGGUGUUCUCACGAUGUUUGUGCGUGCCUGGCACGACUGCCGUCCCACUGUCGCGUUCGCCAUCCCCGUCAUCGCGUGAGAGGAUCCCGCGGACACCACGGUGCGAUAGCGUCCGCGACACACCAUCGAGCGUACCGUCCGACGUCAGCCGCGAUAUGUCAAGUCAAAUAUGUCUAAAGUGGAACAGUUUCCUCAGCAAUAUCGCGACCAGCUUCGAGAGCCUGUGGGAGGAAGAGGGCCUGGUGGACGUGACCCUCGCCAGUGACGGACAGUGUCUCACGGCGCACAAGGUGAUACUCUCGGCCAGCAGUCCCUUCUUCAAGAAGGUCUUCCAGACAAACCCAUGUCAACAUCCUGUUAUAAUUCUUCAGGAUGUACAUUUUAGUGAAUUGGAGGCACUACUUAUAUUUAUAUAUAAAGGAGAGGUAAAUAUUGAACAGAAGAAUUUGCCAGCACUUUUAAAAGCGGCAGAAACAUUGCAAAUUCGGGGUUUGUCUGGUGGAGAUAUCUUUGCAAAGGAAUCUUACAAACGAUUAGCUGAAUUAGAGCAGGCUGUAGCUGAAGAUGUACCAUUGAUUAAAGAAGAGACACCUAAAAAGAAGCAAAAAGUUAGCAAACAACAAAAUAAUUCUAUAUUGGAGAAAGCACUAACACCCAGAAUACCGCAAUCAGAGAAUACAAAUGAAUCCGCAGCCAGUGAUCAAAGUGGGAAGGAUGGAGAGUACAUGUUGCCUGAAACAUUACCAAAUCCAGUAUAUCAUCGUCUGGAAAUGAAAAUAGAACCAUUGGAAAUGGCAGUAGAUGAUCUCCAAAAACGAUCUCCAUUAGAUAAAGAUCCAACAGAAAGGCUAGAUACAGGACAAGCAGAUGGGAAUCAAGGAUCAUUGAAACCGAUUGUGACAGUGAUAGCCGAAGCUCGCAAUACUUCUCCAGUCCCGGAAAUGCACAACAGAAAUCCAAAUUCCACAGUUGAACAAAGUUCGCUGUGGAAUGUCACGAAAAUAUUAAAGGACCCACCAUCCGAUUCAUCGAAUCGUCUUCAUUUUGAACAUGCGUUAGAUCAACCGAAAUCCUCGAAUCUCUUUGCGAAACGCAAUCCUGGAGCUUUGCAGUCUGAGAAUUUCUUCGCGCUCACUGAAUCCUACGGUACAGAUUUAUCGGACGAAACUAUAAAAGGUGGACCGGCAUAUCCGCCGUUUCCCUGUCCUUUCUGUGAUAGGGCGUACACGAGUUGGGGCUUCCGCAGAAGACAUAUAAAAGCUGUUCACACCAUCUCUCCAUCUCUUAAUUGCAAGUGGUGUUUACAAAUUCUUCCCACACAUGCGGCUUGGAGACGGCAUGUGAUAACGGCGCACAAUCUAUCGGCCAGUGAUGCACACAAUGGUCUCUUAAUUCUAGAAGAAGCGCAUAUGGUUCUUCAAAUAGCACAUCCUACUAGAUUGGAUACACUGGUUAACAUUAUUAAGCAGAGUUCCCAACAAAAAUCAUGUAGUCAUGAUAAUGCACAUACUCAAUCGGAUAAAGAUUAGUUUGAAAGCCGGCAAUUCCACCCUUGUGGCGAGUUGGAUUUUCCAGUGGACACUGAAUCGGAACAUUGGGAUCCCUGGUGAAUGGAAUGUUGAUCAAACUUUGAUCCCCACCGAUCGACGAACGAUGAAGGAGCACGCGAUGUGGUAGCUCUGCUAGGAAGGGAUGUUCGAUGAUCUCUACUAUAUAUGGUCUGUUCUCGGGAUUCUUUUCGAGACAUCUGAAACAAAC
rnacentral:misc_RNA from 1 species